rnacentral:rRNA from 1 species
GCCUACGGGGGGCAGCAGUAGGGAAUCUUCCACAAUGGGCGAAAGCCUGAUGGAGCAACGCCGCGUGGGUGAAGAAGGUCUUCGGAUCGUAAAACCCUGUUGUUAGAGAAGAAAGUGCGUGAGAGUAACUGUUCACGUUUCGACGGUAUCUAACCAGAAAGCCACGGCUAACUAUGUGCCAGCAGCCGCGGUAAUACGUAGGUGGCAAGCGUUAUCCGGAUUUAUUGGGCGUAAAGGGAACGCAGGCGGUCUUUUAAGUCUGAUGUGAAAGCCUUCGGCUUAACCGGAGUAGUGCAUUGGAAACU